CAGGGGAGAGACAUGAGUCAUGUGCUUUCAGAAGACAAUACUGGGGGAGACAGGAACCUCGGGAGCCCUGUUUGUGGCUUGGGCUUAUGGCGAGAAGCAACUUCUUAAAUGUAGCUGUGGUGCAGGUUGCUGGACAUUUCCUUGCAGCUACCCUCCCUCCUCUUCAGUUCCGGAUACUUUAGGCAGUGUAAAGUCAAGGCUGUGUUUGCAGCCUCUUUGGAAGGCCCUGUGACCUGUGCUUCCUAAGAAGGAUGCCCCAUCUCCACGCUUGCCCUUCCUCUGUGCUUGUCGUCCAUUCAGCUGCUAACUUGGUACAGUUCCACCAGGACUGCAGCUUCUACAACGUUGCCUGGACUGUCCUGGGUCACAAGCCUGAGACCACUAUCACUCUGGGACUCAAGUCUGCCCUUCUUCCACCACUAUGUGUGCAGCUCAUGCGCACAGCUACUCCAGAGAAAUACAGGAGGAGCCGAAGGAUUCACCCUGCUACUUGCUCUUACCACGUACAGUGUCUUGGGACUGGUCUCUUGGAGGCUGGGAGCCUGGUCCCUGACCAUUCUCCUGGGCUCUAGCAAAUAGGGUAAACUGUGGAAAACUGUCAAAACUGUGCACACAGACCGGAAAAGAUAAUUAUCAAAUUAAGAUUCCUUCCACCCUUAUCAUAUUUAAACAACAGAAUGGUUAUCAUUUGUAACAUUUAAGAACAAUGUGUGUAUGUGUGAUGCACUUCUGGGGUGCACUUUGGCCAUGAGAGACUUGACAACAGUGAGUACCAAAGAUCUAGGCAUCCCAGAUGCUGGGAAGCCAUCCACUAGGCAUUUCAUAUAGGUGAGAAGGCAGAAAGCAUGACCUCAGCAUGCCCAGCAACACCCUGGAGAUUCUACCUCCUGUAGCUGUGUGAGCAUGGGCACCGUCAUUUUGCUUCUGUGUGCCUUUCCCCAGUCUGAGAAGUAGACUUGAGAUUACGUCAGUACUCAGAUGAACUAAGCCUGCAUCUAUGCAGCUGCUGCAGCCCAGAAAUAGUUAGGUCAGGCCUCCUAAGGAGGCUCUCUGCCAGACCUGGAAACUGAGGGACAGGACCUACAUCCUAACCUGGAGGGUAAAUGAAGUUCACUGUAUCAGGUAAAGCAUGAAGCUUUGCUGCCAAUGCUGAAGAGGUCCCAACUGGGAGUAUGCUUAGCUCUUUCCAAUAUCCAACCUACGGGGCAUGAACAGAAACAUGGCCUCCAGUUAGUACCUAUUCCAGGAGAUUAAUCCACAUGGGCUCACCCUUAACAUGGCAGUCUUUAGUUGUAUCUCUGUUCUCAGGCUACCUGUUUUCUUAGCUCUUUCUUUUCCAUAUUCCCUCAGGUCCCAGUUCAGUUCAGAAGUAGCUGCUUCUCAAGAGACAAUCUUUCUUGAUCACCAAGGGAUGGUCUUUAUGUGUUGAUCCUGAGCAGAAACACACACACUGUAUACAUGAAAAAUCUACAGAAAUACUCAACAUCAUAUUUUACCACACCUCCCCACCAUACUUAAAAACCACUCAACGCCAGGGACAAGUUCAUAGAUGCUAGAGUGUGUGUCAUGCCCUGACAUAGUUCAUAUGUGUGCCUCAAAGAAGGCUGCCCUGUCUCUUAUGGAAAAAGAGUAACUAUCAGAUAAGAACAAGGGGAAAAAUUAGAAUGGAUUUUUGGAGUUUUUCUCUACUUAAAAACACUGGAAGGUUUUCCAACAACACAUGCGAUCCUGUACAAUUUGUUUCUGAGUGCUCUACCCAAAGGUCACCUGCAGCUUGAACCUUAGUCUCGAACCCAAUGGAGCCAGGCUUUCUGAAAGGAAGGAGGAAUUGGUGUCCUUCGGGGGUAGCUUCAGGGAGGGAAGCUCUGGUGAAAAUUAAUGCCCCUUUAUUUUCUAAAGAGGAAGCACAGCUGUUUGGCCUGAAGGAUGUGUGAGAGAAGUAGGGGUGGGGUGUUCUUGGGUUGUUUGUUCCUGAGACAGCUGACACGUGUGCCAAGGACUGUGAGUAGGCAGUGUUGGAGGGAGUGUGUGUCCUCACCAUGUGCUAGUGUCCACCCUGAGAGCUCUGCAGAUCCACCACCAACUUCUGGAUUCACUCCACUGUCCCCCAGAGAACAAUGGUUUACAGACGAUGUUGUUGUGUUGUCAAGGGAGUGGGGGGAGGGUGUGCGUGCGUGUGUGUGUGUGUGUGUGUGUGUGUGUGUGUGAAUCUGCCUCCACACAGGGUUGUUUCUCUUGGUUAUUUAUAGAACACACCAGCAUCUGUCUAACCAGCAUCAGGGCAUCAGGCAAAGGGCUGAGGCCAUGAGGCCAUUUCAGUCUUUUCUGCUAAGUGUCUCCGGACAGGCUGCUUAGCCUCUCUGAGACUUGUUUAUCUCUUACUGAAAAUAGGAUUAAACUUGAAACCCGUUUAAAGGACUACAAUUGGUUAAAAUGGAAAGACACGGUUUUCUAGCUUCCAGAUAGUACAAGGGUGUUGGAACUAUGGACUCCAUGCCUCUCCUGUAACCUUGAGGUGGGCAUGAGGCAUACUGAGGUGUAGGAGCAGGAGAAUCACGCUCACAGCUGAGGGGGCUGCUCCUUAUCCCUGCUCCACAUCCAAGGGGGCCAUCUCUCUGCCUCCACAGUCAUACACCCCAAUUAACUGAUAGAGAGAUCGGCUUGAUUUGAGUUUCUGAGUUUCAGGUCAAGAUCAGGUACCUCUGAAGGGUGUGUCAGAGAGCAGUGGUGGGGAAGGCAGGGCAUACAAGCUGCUCUUUUCUCCUGGCCUGAAGGAGAGACUUUCCAUGUCAUGCCUGCAGUGAUCCCUCUCCCACUGACCAGCCUCCUAAAGGUCCCACCCCUUCCAAAUGCUGCCACCCUGGGACUGUGUCUUCAACACAAGGGCAUUCGAAGGACACUGCAGAUGCUGUGCAUGCCUGGUUUAUUCUAUUGAAGCAUUGCUAUGUGGCAUGUCUUUGGUAUCAGUUUUUAUAUUCAAAAAUAAUGUGAUUCUAAACAUAUAUGUCUUUGAAAUUGUAAAAGGGAAAAAGGGGCCGGGGCUUGGAAAAGUCAUGAGAAGCACUGUAAACGUCGUAGGUUUGUGUGACUCUAGGCUUAAAGGAGUUGGAAAUAAAUGACUACCAAGAAUGGCUUCCUGGGCCCAUUGUGGUGAAAUAAAAGCACCUACAGACGGUCA
rnacentral:sRNA from 1 species